rnacentral:tRNA from 1 species
UUUAGUUUAGUUUAAAAAAAACAAUAGCUUGUCGAGCAUUAAAUACAACAAAUAAUGUAUUGUAACUAAAU